UACGUAGGGGGCUAGCGUUGUCCGGAAUCAUUGGGCGUAAAGAGCGCGUAGGCGGCCAGAUAAGUCCGGUGUGAAAGUCAAAGGCUCAACCUUUGAAUGCCGCUGGAAACUGUCUGGCUAGAGUCCGGAAGGGGCGAGUGGAAUUCCUGGUGUAGCGGUGAAAUGCGUAGAGAUGUGGAGGAACACCAGUGGCGAAGGCGACUUACUGGACACCAACUGACGCCUGAGACGCGAAAGCGUGGGGAGCAAACAGGAUAGAUAC
rnacentral:rRNA from 1 species